rnacentral:rRNA from 1 species
GACGAACGCUGGCGGCGUGCUUAACACAUGCAAGUCGAGCGGUAAGGCCCUUUCGGGGGUACACGAGCGGCGAACGGGUGAGUAACACGUGGGUGACCUGCCCUCAGUUCUGGGAUAAGCCUGGGAAACCGGGUCUAAUACUGGAUAUGACCUCAUGACGCAUGUUGUGGGGUGGAAAGCCUUGUGCGACUGGAGGAUGGGCCCGCGGCCUAUCAGCUUGUUGGUGGGGUGAUGGCCUACCGAAGGCGACGACGGGUAGCCGGCCUGAGAGGGCGACCGGCCACACUGGGACUGAGACACGGCCCAGACUCCUACGGGAGGCA